rnacentral:rRNA from 1 species
AUUGCAGAAUCCCGCGAACCAUCUAGUCUUUGAACGCAAGUUGCGCCCGAGGCCGUCCGGCCGAGGGCACGCCUGCCUGGGCGUCACGCAUCGCGACGCUCCGCGCCCCGCCCGCCCGAACGGCGGAGCGUGCGCCGCGGACGCGGAGACUGGCCCCCCGCGCCUCCGGCGCGGCGGGCCGAAGAGCGGGCCGCCCGCGCGGGCCGGGCACGGCGAGUGGUGGACGCGCCAGCGAGCCGAGCGCCGUGCCUCCGGCCCCAGCGGCGAGAGAGGCCCAAGAGGACCCCCACCCCGAGCGGCGCGCCUCCUAGCAGUAGGCAGGCCGCGCGAUCGGACCGCGACCCCAGGUCAGGCGGGGCCACCCGCUGAGUUUAAGCA